CUGAUGGGGUGGUUGAGGUGGGUGGAGGCUUGGUAGGCUUCUGAUGUGGGGUCUGACCAUGCUCUGGAAGCCUGUUAUGACUUCAGUGUAGUCAUGGAUUUAUUCCUAGUGUGUGGCUUUGUCACUUCUGGACCCCUGCAUGCAUUCACGGGGUCUGGCACUGCAAAAACCUUGCUGUAGCAUACUGUGUGUGUUGCCAGGCUUCAGGCAUAGCUUUAAAGAGGAAAAAAAAUCACAGUAUGUCCUUAUGCUUAUUGAGAACUUAAUCCUUCACCAGUGCUCCAGCUGUUGGAGGCUGUUCAGUAGAUGAGCUCAGCCAUGUUCCUGAGAAGCAACCCUUGGGCCCUUUGCCCCUGAGGACUCUGCUGUUACUGGAGUGCUCAGGAGACAGACACCAAUGACGAAUGUACUAUGAGGGCCUGAAGAAUUUUCUUGCCUUUUGGAGAAGGCAUGGCACUGCCUGCAUUUUGGCCAAUUCUAGUGGACCAAGUGAGAGAUUUCUUGUUUGUCAUGGAACAACAGGAUCUGCCUCCUGCAAAAGUAAUAAUGUACAUGGAAGGACUGUCCUUCAUCUCCAGAAUGGUCAAUCAUCCUGAUCCUCUUCAGGACCCUUAUAUCUGUCAUAUGAUAUCCAAGUUGAAACAUAGGACUGGCCCUUCAAAGGAUAAAUGCUCUCCUGUAACUAUUGAAGUGCCAAGAUCUCUCCUGGGGACUCUGGAGUCUGUGUGUAACUCUCCUUAUGAGUGUGUAUUUUUCCAUGCCCUAUUUACUGUGGCUUUUUUGGGGGCACUCUGCAUAGAAGAGAUGAGAAGAAAACCUGGCUGGUGACUGGCAGCUGUGAAUAUGGGGGGAGUUCAGCAGCUCACUGUGACACUGAGAGGGAUGUUGUCCAGGCUGCAGUUCCGUAGCAGCUACAUUCAACCCAAACAGGUGCUACUGCUGUCUCAGUCUAUCUACAUGGGCCUGACCCUUGAAAAUUCAUAAAAUCCUUCACUGAGCCCUGUUCAAAAGGUAUAUAGGACCAAAAGAAGCCUUAAAUUGAAGCGAAGCUAAACUAUCACAGGUGACCUUGCUUGGUUCCAAGGAUCCCUUGUAGCAGAGAACAUUCUGUAAGAGCUGACAUAAAUAACCCUCAUCCUCUAAAUGGGGCACUUCUAAGAUUUCAUACAGAUUAAAUCACUUAUAGCCGUGAAGCAGGAUCAUAAGGUUGAAUGUCACCUUCUGUUACAACAAGGAUGUUUGAAGUAAUGGCAUCUUCUAGUGUGUCAUGUGUUCAGGAGCUGCCUAGGUGACAGCUAGCUCUGGGGAGAACAACCAAUGUAAUACUGAAUUUCCAAGUCAGAGAAAAGUGGCUGCAAGUCCCAUUUUGCUGCCUCUUGUGCUGCCAGGAAGGAACUGAUGGACAUCACACAAGUACAGCAGGUGGUGACCAAGGCAGCAUGGGGGACAACGACUUUGAGGCUGUCCUCAGGUGUGCAGUUGAAUGUUCUGUCCUUACCCAGCAGGUCUCUGUUAAAAUCAAAAUAUGAACUGGUAGUCUGUUAGAGCUGUGAGAAAAAUGCUUUUUAGAGAGGAUUUAGGGCUCACCGUGGUCAAUUCAAAGUUAGGAGAGCCUCUUGGGAUGUCCCUGGUGAUGACCUCAGUGAUGCCAAGGAAACAGGGAAGAAAGUUACAGAGGAGGAACCUUGCAAAAAUCGGCUGAAUAACUGCACAAAGCAGCUGUCCCAGAAAGGUUUCUUAUCACCUGUGUAAAGUUCCAAGUGGUGAAAGGUUACUCCUGAUGGGGAAAAGAGCUCCUGAACAUAGGUGUAAAAGCUGUGCUGAACCUACCAGUUCACGUGUUUGCUCAGCAGCAAUAGCAGCUUACACCACUUUGUGUCCACUGCUACUUAUUCCCUCCCUGUGGAGUCUCCCUCAGCUAGUAUGCUUUGUUUGGCUAAAUCUGGAGCAAAUACAAAAACAACCUCAGGUUAAAAAUAAUUGGAUUAACUUUAUCAUGAAGUCCAGCAGAAUGCUGUACUGACCCAGCUGAGGUCUGGUAAGAAAAUGAUAUACAUGUAGGUUGGUACUCCUGACAAAAAAAUAUAUAAAAAUAAAUAAAAAAUAAAUAAAUAAAAGGUUUUCAAAGGUUUUCAUCAAAUUACAUCCUAAAAACAUAUAGGAUGAAAUAGUCAUCCUACGGUACACCCACCAAUAGCUGUUAUUGAUGUGUAUCCUGAGACUCUGUUACUGCAGCAACAACUCGUGGAUAGCAAAGCCAGACAAGGAAAAACAAAAUUGUCUUUGAGUGAUGUAUUGUUAAAACUUCCAAGCAGAUUUCACUGCACAGUUGCUAGGUGUUUGCUCAUCACAGCGAUGAAAUUUUGUGUCAUAGCAUAAAAAAAUUGUGUAAUCUAAUGGCACCAAGAUGCAGCCACUUCCUAAUGAAAGUAAAUCAAUUGGCUACCUAAGCUGACAAAUCUAAUCGUAUUAUACCCUAUGAGUGUGACCAGAUAGAUCCACUUUACUGAUAAAUACCCGUUCCUCUUUUUCCAUGCUCAGCCUCUAGAAGAGUGAGGCAAAAUCUUGUGUAAACAUGAUCCUUAAAAAUUCCACAUAAAUGAAUACAAAGACUAGAGGUAGAAAGCAAACUCCUUAUGGAGAUCAAACCUUAGGCACUGCAUCCUCCCAGCUUUGGUUGUAGAGAACUCAGACCUUAAAAUUAUUAAAGCCUUUUGCACUACUUUCACACAUGCAUUCUGCAUUGGGUAUUUAUAAAGAUAGCUAAUCCUCUAGCUACAAAUUCCAAUAGCAUUAUGCAGGCUGUACCCUAAUUUCCCGUAUAAGCCCGUCACUCCAUGCUGCACCCUGUCCUCUCAUCCACCGUCACUUCACAGCACGAGCUCUCCUGUCCUCACACUACAGACACGUGGAGCAACGUUUGCUUGCUACCAGUCUUUGGGAUAAAAACCUUUAGGGGCUUAAACAACAAAGAUCGUAGAGUAAACUACCAAAGAUACGGCACCAUUGGUCAUGGGACAGAAUAAAUGUGCACAUGUAAUAUUUGUUGUGCUCUGCAUUGUGUAUGAGGAAAAUCUCACAGUAAGGUGAACUUUGUCUCUGUUUUAAAAGGGAGAGAAGAAAAAGAUAAGGAAGUCAGUUA